rnacentral:rRNA from 1 species
CGAACGCUGGCGGCGUGGAUUAGGCAUGCAAGUCGAGCGAUCCUACGGGAUAGCGGCAAAAGGGUGAGUAACGCGUGGGUAAUCUACCCUUUCGUUAGGAAUAACUUCGCGAAAGUGAGGCUAAUACCUAAUAUGACCACAUGUACAUAUGUACGAGUGGUAAAAGGUGGCGUACGCUUCGGCGGCUACCGCGAAAGGAGGGGCCCGCGUCCUAUUAGCUAGUUGGUGGAGUCAAAGCCCACCAAGGCGAAGAUGGGUAGCUGGUUUGAGAGGAUGGUCAGCCACACUGGGACUGAGACACUGCCCAGACUCCUACGGGAGGCUGCAGUCGAGAAUCUUUUGCAAUGGGCGAAAGCCUGACAAUGCGACGCCGCGUGAGCGAUGAAGGCCUUCGGGUUGUAAAGCUCUGUUUGCCGGGAAGAAAGACGUUGCCGAAUAGGCCAACGGGAUGACGGUACCGGCAGAGGAAGCCACGGCUAACUCC